GAUCAUGUGAUGAGAAAAAAACUGCAACAAUAUGAUUGGAUUCGUUCCCUGAUUCCUAGUAUUUAAGUCUCUGAUGAUU
rfam:Glycine max cultivar Williams 82 chromosome 19, whole genome shotgun sequence.